rnacentral:lncRNA from 1 species
UAAAUUUCCAUUGAUACUAAAUAUCAAAGAUACAAUGUUCGACGGAACAGAGUUUCUUUCAUCCACAAAAGUAUACCAUCUAACCGAAGAGUAAGCUAGUACUCCCGGACGCUUAGACGAUAUGACCUUUAAUGUCCGAAAAGAAAACCCACUAAUUGGGCCUCGUUAAAACCCCGCAAGAGUAAAAAUCCUAUGGGAAAAAAACUGAAGGGGGAAAAAGUGUACCCUACAAAGCAAAUAUACAUCCUUUACAAAGAAAUUACAAGAUAAACUCGUAUCCUCCGAUGCUAAAAUGAUUUGUACACUUAUGUCCUUUUCCAUCUGCUACCUCUAAAAUUCCGUAGAGUCAAAUAUUUAACAUUGAACCUGCAAGAUAUUAUAAACAUUAAAUAAAAAUAAUUAGCGAACACUAAAGAUAAAAUAGUAUGGAAACAAUUCAAAUACACCAACAUUAAAUAGUAAUUAAUUAAAAAUAAAAACACGUCAAUAAAUGACACUUAAUUGUGGUCAAAAUAUUCCACAAACAUAACUCAUAAAAGAGACAAUUAAGCGUUCAAUUAAGGCACAAUUAACAAAACAUUAACGCCGCAAUUAACGCUGCAAUUAAGGCACAAUUAACAAAACAUUAACGUCCUCAAUAAAUGCACAAUUAACGCCCUUAAUUAAGGCACAAUUAAUGUUUCCUUUCUGAAACCGACACACGAAUCUCAUUCUGAUCUCGGAACUGCCGCGAUCACCGCCAUCCUCUUCGGCCACCACCGCUACCUUAUCUCUUCCGUACGCGCGACCAUGGAGUCAUUUGCCGAGUGAUGUCGAUAACUUUCUUUAGUUUUUAUAUAUCCCUGAAAAAACAAAAAAAAACACAAAACAGACGAGCAUCCAGGGGAUUGCUCUAAAAGCUUUUAGAUGUAUGAUGACUAUGAAAUUAUGUUGUCGAGUUUUGUCGCAAUUUUUCACGGAACUCAAAAUAUUAUGAGAAAAACGAUGCAAUGAAUAUCGAAAAAAACAGAAAUAAUGGGAGACAUGAACGAAAAAUGACAUACCAGCAAAAGGAAGCAUACUUUAUGUUUUAGUUAUUAUGAAAAGUAGGAAAUAUACUGUACGGCCGACCUCAGAAGAGACGUUGUUGAUGAAGCUUCGAAUCAUCGAAAACAAGGCAGUGAUUUUGGCAGUGACGAUGAUGACGUGGCGGUGGUAGCUGCCUUGCUCCCUGUAUACAAAGAAAAUAUAGUCAAGCUCAUCUACUCUGGUACAAUAUUUCCCAUAAAAUAUUGGAUGAGUCACCGAGAAAAUGUAAGUAAUCUGGUGCUUAGCCGUCCACUUUGAAAAAGUUAUAUCAAUUACAGUAGUAUAGUAAGAGCAUCUCCAACGGCGUUGGCUAUAAUCGUUGGCUAAAUUGGACCUGCAAGCCAUUAUGUAAAAUUUGUC